ensembl:misc_RNA Y_RNA Y RNA
GGCUGGUCCGAUGGCAGUGGGUUAUCAGAACUUACUAACGUUAGUGUCACUAAAGUUGGUAUACCACCCCCCCACUGCUAAAUUUGACUGGCUUAAA